rnacentral:rRNA from 1 species
UACGUAGGGUGCGAGCGUUGUCCGGAAUUAUUGGGCGUAAAGAGCUCGUAGGCGGCUUGUCGCGUCGGAUGUGAAAGCCCGGGGCUUAACCCCGGGUCUGCAUUCGAUACGGGCAGGCUAGAGUUCGGUAGGGGAGAUCGGAAUUCCUGGUGUAGCGGUGAAAUGACGCAGAUAUCAGGAGGAACACCGGUGGCGAAGGCGGAUCUCUGGGCCGAUACUGACGCUGAGGACGAAAGCGUGGGGAGCGAACAGG